CCCCUCCCCCCCGGGAUGACACGGCUCGUUCUCUCCCUGAGCGGCUAGGCUGCCGCCGCUGCCAGCCUGCCCGCCGGGUUGUCAGAACAAGCGGCACCUCGCCUCCUGCGUGUCCCUGCAGAGCCCCGACAUAAUUAGACAGCCCCGAGCCGGCUCGGAAACCCGAAAUCCCUGCUCCGGCACUCGCCCGCCGCGGCCAAAGUUGUUGAAACAGCCUUCACUCUGUUUUCUUCCCCGUCUCGUUUCUCAUCAUUUUUUCCCUCUUUUUCGCCUCACUCACACACACACACGCACACGCGCCCCCACAGGGUCUCUCUCUGGGGGUGCAAGUUCCUCGCCUCCCUCCCAGGUCCCACAGGCGCCCAGCGCCGCGCGGAGGCCCGGACGCCGCCAACCCAGCGUGCAGCGCCGGGAGCCGGGCUUCGGCCUCGGAGAAAGUGAGCGCCCCAGCCUCCGGCCACAGCCCAGCCGGGACAACCCGCCUAAGACUUAAGGGCUGAGUUUCACCCCGAUUCGCUCGCCAAGGGCACCCCCGCUCUGAAAACAAAGCAGCUGGUCUGACGUGGGGUGUCUGCCCCCCGCGCCGCGCACAACAGGAGCCCCGGAGAAGCGCCCGUCUCCGAGGGACGUCACCCCGCGCCCCAGGGGGGUGGGGAGAGCGGAGAGAAAGGGCCCGGGAAAGGAGCGAGAUUUAAAAUCGUCUGCGAAUAGGAGGGGAAGGGAGACGGGCGGCACCACGUUCACAGAAACCCAGGUUCCGAUUUCGGGGCAGACAGGCCCCCUGCCGCUGCGCCCGCGCAGACCUCCCUGCCUGGCGCUCCCAGCUCCAGAUGCCAACGAGAAAGAAAGGAAAGGGGGGAAAGAGCAAAAGCCGGGACUGCCGCCUCUUUAUUUAGGUAAUCUCCGGCCGCGGCCCCCUCCCCCUCUCGUGACUCAUCGACUCCUCUCGGCCCGGGCGGUACGGGCGGCAGGAGCGGCGGCCGCCUGGCCGGGUCUCAGGGCCUCCCGCGCGCGGACCGGUAGUGCCGGGGCUUCCCCGGCUCCGGGAACCCGAGCUCCCGGGACCCUGGGUUUUUUAACGGCUCCAUUGGCCCCGCUGGCUCCUCGCACCGGAGGUCGCGUGUAGCCCCGCCGGGAUUCCCACGGUGACGCCGCCGACUGCCGGGCGGCCGCCGGGGCAGAGGCGUGGGGACCCGGGAGCCGGGAAACUCCGAGCCGCGCCGCCCCCCCACCCCCACCCCGUGGAGGCGCCAACCGAGUGCUCAGAGAGAAGCGGCGCGGAACUUCCUGAGCAGCGGGAGCACCUGGAGCGGCCCGCGGCAGUUGGGGAGAGGAGUGAUCGCACCCUGAACCCGCUGAAAGGGAGAUGCGGCCCCCUCUCCACAGAGAAAUGAGCCUUUUUUUAAAAAAAGGUUGGGGGAGGAAUAAAUAAGCCAGUAAAUAAACAAGCAAACAAACAUGAAGGAUCAGAGAGGAAGUUAAAAAAGGUAAAGGGUUUUCUCUUUCCUUUCUCUUCCUGGUGACUUGGGCUCCCAGAACCUCGCCAGAGAGGCACGCGGAGCGCACGGGCGCGUGCCCCAAGGCCAGCAAUCGCUUCCAAAACCCAUGCUGGUCUCUCCUCUCCCUCGUCUCGGGCACAGGCAAUGUUGCUCAGAAAAGGGGGGAAAGUGGGGCACAGGCUUCGAAGGGGCGACAUGAGAAGGGGAGCGCCCGCUGGCUCGCUGUCCGACCUCUCCCCGGCAUCCUUCGGGCGAAUCGGAGAGGCGGGCGCGGCGCGGGGCGAAGUUUGUCCACCCGCGCUUCUCAGCGGGCUGCGAGGAGCGGAGGUGCGGAGGGGAGAGCUCGGAUCCUGAGGCCGCGAGGAGAACUGAGCCGGCGCCGCGCUUACCUCGCAGUCCUCGUACUUGAUAUUAUCCGUCAGUUUCCAAAGCAUUUUCAUGGAUCGGCGUGAACUGAUUGGCCCCCUCUCUGCCUCGCAACCAAGUGCAGCUACUCGCGGGCUCUUUACCCACAGCCUAAUCGCCUCAUUAGCAUAUCAACAAUAAUCCAAUUGCUCGCCAGCUCGACUAUCUGCCUCCGAACCAGGUAUAAAGGCCUCUUGGAGCCGCCAACUUGCUCCCGGAGUGCACGCCCGGCCGGUGAGCCCUGGAAAGCUCCCGAGCCCCGCCUCGCGCCCCUGCCCGUCCCCCCACCCCCAGUCCGCCCCAGUCCCCCACUCCGUCCCCUCCUAGAGGGAGCAGCCCGGCGCAGAGGCCAGGCUCUCAGCGCCGCUCCCCCACCUCUGCUGCUAAGAACGGGGCUGUCCUUCCGGCCCCCUCCCAUUUUAUUAGAAAUUAUCCUUUUGGCAAUUAAACAUAACCACCACACCAAGAUCAGCGAAGUCACGCCAGGAUUUUUGCCCAAGAAAAGAUCGCCUCCGCCGGGCAGCCACCACCGCGGGCCGGAGCGUUGGGAGUUUUAUUGGCUUUGUGCUUCACCCCCAGGUCGGAGGUUUUGCCAAACGGCCUCCGUCGCUCGGCUGGGGUUUGCGAUUCUUUAAUUGCAGCGUGUAAAAUAAAAAUUGUACCCUGAAGAGGUUACUUGACAGCUCCAGGAGUUAAA